AUGUCACAUAUCAACAAAAUUUUCUGUGUGCUUAAAUAUUGGAAAUGUUAUCAAACAGAAAUAAAUGUUAGGCAACAAAAUACAAAUCAGUUACUUGAGGAGUUGCCAAAACUAUUUUCAGAGAUCUCUGCCUUUCAAGCUGUCCAGCAAAUUUUGCUAAGAAGACUUUGUUAAUUACCACGUUCAAGUGCAUAGGAGAAUUGAUGCAAGGGAGGUAAUGUAAUUUUACUGAAGUGAAGGUUACUCACCAACCAAGAGCAGAGAUGGAUGGAAGUGACAGGGAAGAAGUCCUGAGAGGUUAGUGGGGAGGUCAGCUUCAAAUCAGGUGACCUGUGGGGACUGCCAUUUUGCUCUCAGACUGUGUGCACAAUAAAAUUAUAACACACAAAACUUUAGGGCCAAAU
rnacentral:lncRNA from 1 species